GAAAUGCGAUACGUAGUGUGAAUUGCAGAAUUCCGUGAACCAUCGAAUUUUUGAACGCAUAUUGCGCUCAAGGCUUCGGCCAAGAGCAUGUCUGCCUCAGCGUCGGGUUCAAUAUCCCACCCCUCUCUCUCUAUCCGAGUGUGUGGGGUGGGGAUACAUCGCAGUCUCAUGCCCGUCAAAGGCGUGAGUCUGCCGAAGUCAACAAGGUGCCUCAUAGCGCGGUGUCGGUCUCUAGGGAUCGUAUCCGUAUCAAUCCGCACUCGAUUACACAUCUCGUAUGUCUAUUCGACCUCGACGUUUUGCGCCGUGAAGACGUGUAGUUAAUCUCGACACGUCCUACGCCUCUUACACUUGGAACACCCAACACUUCUCGACCUGAGCUCAGGCA
rnacentral:rRNA from 1 species